AGGGUGUAAACGCUGCAGACUUGGUGUUGGAAGCCCUUUGGGGGCAUUCAGUGCCUGAGAGAAGUUGUUAAGUCUGCUACUUGGGGAGUACGUCCGCAAGGAUGAAACUUAAAGGAAUUGGGCGGGGGGAGGCACCGCAACGGGAGGAGCGUGCGGUUUAAUUGGAUUCAACACCGUAAAACUCACCAGGGAAGACUGUUACAUGAAGGCCGAGAUGAAGACUCUGCUAGAUUUUCAGAGAGGUGGUGCAUGGCGUCAGUGACU
rnacentral:rRNA from 1 species